GACGAACGCUGGCGGCGUGCUUAACACAUGCAAGUCGAACGGUGACCUCGAGAGCUUGCUCUUGGGUGAACAGUGGCGAACGGGUGAGUAACACGUGAGUAACCUGCCCCUGACUCUAGAAUAAGCGCUGGAAACGGCGUCUAAUACCGGAUAUGACACACCCUCGCAUGGGGAGUGGGUGGAAAGUUUUUCGGUCUGGGAUGGACUCGCGGCCUAUCAGCUUGUUGGUGAGGUAAUGGCUCACCAAGGCGAUGACGGGUAGCCGGCCUGAGAGGGCGACCGGCCACACUGGGACUGAGACACGGCCCAGACUCCUACGGGAGGCAGCAGUGGGGAAUAUUGCACAAUGGGCGAAAGCCUGAUGCAGCGACGCCGCGUGAGGGAUGACGGCCUUCGGGUUGUAAACCUCUUUCAGCAGGGAAGAAGCGCAAGUGACGGUACCUGCAGAAGAAGCACCGGCUAACUACGUGCCAGCCGCCGCAGUAAAAC
rnacentral:rRNA from 1 species